GCAGCAGCCGCGGGAAUACAGAGGGUGCGAGCGUUAAUCGGAUUUACUGGGGGUAAAGCGUGCGUAGGCGGCUUCUUAAGUCGGAUGUGAAAUCCCUGAGCUUAACUUAGGAAUUGCAUUCGAUACUGGGAAGCUAGAGUAUGGGAGAGGAUGGUAGAAUUCCAGGUGUAGCGGUGAAAUGCGUAGAGAUCUGGAGGAAUACCGAUGGCGAAGGCAGCCAUCUGGCCUAAUACUGACGCUGAGGUACGAAAGCAUGGGGAGCAAACAGGAUUAGAUACCCCUGUAGUCCCUGUCUCUUAUAA
rnacentral:rRNA from 1 species